rnacentral:rRNA from 1 species
UGAAUAAUACGUGGCGAACGGCUCAGUAACACGUAGUCAACAUGCCCAGAGGACGUGGAUAACCUCGGGAAACUGAGGAUAAACCGCGAUAGGUCAUAAUUACUGGAAUGUGUUAUGGCCUAAAUCUAUAUGGCCUCUGGAUUGGACUGCGGCCGAUCAGGCUGUUGGUGAGGUAAUGGCCCACCAAACCUUUUACCGGUACGGGCUCUGAGAGGAGGAGCCCGGAGAUGGGCACUGAGACAAGGGCCCAGGCCCUAUGGGGCGCAGCAGGCGCGAAACCUCUGCAAUAGGCGAAAGCCUGACAGGGUUACUCUGAGUGAUUCCCGCUAAGGGAAUCUUUUGGCAUCUCUAAAAAUGGUGCAGAAUAAGGGGUGGGCAAGUCUGGUGUCAGCCGCCGCGGUAAUACCAGCACCCCGAGUGGUCGGGACGAUUAUUGGGCCUAAAGCAUCCGUAGCCGGUCUUGCAAGUCUUCCGUUAAAUCCAGCUGCUUAACAGAUGGGCUGCGGAGGAUACUACAAGGCUAGGAGGCGGGAGAGGCAAGCGGUACUCAGUGGGUAGGGGUAAAAUCCUCUGAUCCAUUGAAGACCACCAGUGGCGAAGGCGGCUUGCCAGAACGCGCUCGACGGUGAGGGAUGAAAGCUGGGGGA